rnacentral:pre_miRNA from 1 species
GGUGGGAUAGCUGGGUCAAAUGGUGGUUCCAUUCCAAGUUUUCCUAGGAAUCUCCACACUGCUUUCCAAAGUGGUUGUACCAAUUUGCAGUCUUACCAGCAAU